UGGCGAACGGGGGAGUAACGCGUGAGGAACCUGCCUCAAAGAGGGGGACAACAGUUGGAAACGACUGCUAAUACCGCAUAAGCCCACGACCCGGCAUCGGGUAGAGGGAAAAGGAGCAAUCCGCUUUGAGAUGGCCUCGCGUCCGAUUAGCUAGUUGGUGAGGUAACGGCCCACCAAGGCGACGAUCGGUAGCCGGACUGAGAGGUUGAACGGCCACAUUGGGACUGAGACACGGCCCAG
rnacentral:rRNA from 1 species